rnacentral:misc_RNA from 1 species
AACUGAUACUACCUGCGGGAACCUGCGGAGGGAUCAUUAAAGAGUUGGGGUCCUUCGGGGCCCGAUCUCCCACCCUUUGUUGUCGCGAAUUUGUUGCCUCGGCGGGUUUGUCUUCGGACGAUGGGCUCCGGCCCGCCCGCCGCAGGACCAUUCAAACUCUGCUUUAACAAUGCAGUCUGAGAAGAUUUUAAUAAUAAAUCAAAACUUUCAACAAUGGAUCUCUAGAUCGGAAGAGCACAC